rnacentral:lncRNA from 1 species
CCAUUUUGGAUCUGAGAGAGUUGGCCAUGCAGCAGCGUUUCGGAUCCGAGAGCUGGCCAUGCAGCAGCCAUUAAGGAUCCAAGAGUCGGUCAUGUAGCAGCCAUUUCGGAUCUGAGAGAGUCGGCCAUGCAGCAGCCGUUUGGGAUCUGAGAGUCGGCCAUGCAGCAGCCGUUUGGGAUCUGAGAGAGUCGGCCAUGCAGCAGCCAUUUGUGCAUGCUUCCCUUCUCCCAGCCCCACAGGAGACUGACUCUGCAUCCUGCCUCCUUUCAAAUGCAUCCUGUGCCAACAGUUUCUGAAAACGGAUAAACAAAUUGACAACCUCAAAUGCAAAGAUGAAACAUUUCUCCAGAUCAUCAGGCACAUGGUUUACUCAG